rnacentral:rRNA from 1 species
AAGCAUAUCAAUAAGCGGAGGAAAAGAAACCAACCGGGAUUGCCUCAGUAACGGCGAGUGAAGCGGCAAGAGCUCAAAUUUGAAAGCUGGCCCCUCCGGGGUCCGCGUUGUAAUUUGCAGAGGAUGCUUCGGGCUCAGCCCCCGUCUAAGUGCCCUGGAACGGGCCGUCGGAGAGGGUGAGAAUCCCGUCUGGGACGGGGUGCCUGGGUCCAUGUGAAGCUCCUUCGACGAGUCGAGUUGUUUGGGAAUGCAGCUCUAAAUGGGUGGUAAAUUUCAUCUAAAGCUAAAUACUGGCCGGAGACCGAUAGCGCACAAGUAGAGUGAUCGAAAGAUGAAAAGCACUUUGAAAAGAGAGUUAAACAGCACGUGAAAUUGUUGAAAGGGAAGCGCUUGCGAUCAGACUCGCCUGCGGGGUUCAGCCGGCAUUCGUGCCGGUGUACUUCCCCGUGGGCGGGCCAGCGUCGGUUCGGGUGGCCGGUCAAAGGCCCCGGGAAUGUGUCGCCCUCCGGGGCGUCUUAUAGCCCGGGGUGCCAUGCGGCCUACCUGGACCGAGGAACGCGCUUCGGCUCGGACGCUGGCGUAAUGGUCGUAAGCGACCCGUCUUGAAACACGGACCAAGGAGUCUAACAUCUACGCGAGUGUUUGGGUGGCAAACCCAUACGCGCAGUGAAAGCGAACGGAGGUGGGAACCCUUCGGGGCGCACCAUCGACCGAUCCUGAUGUCUUCGGAUGGAUUUGAGUAAGAGCGUAGCUGUGGGGACCCGAAAGAUGGUGAACUAUGCCUGAAUAGGGCGAAGCCAGAGGAAACUCUGGUGGAGGCUCGCAGCGGUUCUGACGUGCAAAUCGAUCGUCAAAUUUGGGUAUAGGGGCGAAAGACUAAUCGAACCAUCUGGUAGCUGGUUCCUGCCGAAGUU